rnacentral:pre_miRNA from 1 species
UUCACGGCCAUGAUGCCUACCAUUCUGACCUGUGAGUUGAUCGAUUUCGAGUUUUUGGCCACAAAUAUAAUCUGGAAUCUUUAAUUCGCAGUUCCCACCGAAAUGUCAGUGUUCGUGAGG